rnacentral:rRNA from 1 species
AUGCGCACGACGACGCAAGCGAUGUCGUCCUUGCUUCCCCGGGCCACCGCCGAAUCCACGAGCUUCACCGCCGCCUUCCGGGCGUCGCGCGUGUCCCUGACCUCGUCCACGGCCUCCUGGUUGGACAUAACCUUCCAGAGCCCGUCGCUGGCGACGACGACGAACUCGGUGUCGUCCCCGACGUGCUCGAUGGCCACGUCCGGGUCGGAGCUGAUGUGCUCCUUGAGUUUCCGGUCACCGAACGCCCGCGACAUCGCCAGCGACGCGUCCACGCGAGGCACGUCCCCUGAUCAACUCAUUCAUAUCAUGCAUCUCGGUGACGAAGCCUCCCCUCCUCUCGAUGGCGUCGCGCUCCCGGAGCGGCUCGUGGUCCACGGAGAGCUGCCUCGCCCUGCCGCCCUCGCACACGACGGCGCGGGAGUCCCCCACGUUGGCCACCACCAGGGUCUCCCCGUUGAGGAGGAUGACCGUCACCGCCGUGGACCCGCCGCGGCGUGGCCUUACUAUUUCCUCGCCGUCGGCGGUCACCUUCUUCUUCUUGAGCACCUUCCUGUCGGUGCGGUGGUAGGCGCGCCGUAUGGCCCCCAUGGUGUCCUCCCAGAAGUCCGGCUCGCCGAGGAUGUUGUCGAAGAGGUGGUUCCGGAGGUAGGUGGCGACGUCGGCGCCCAAGUGGCCGUCGAAGACGCCGAAGAGGCCCACCUCGUUGCCGUCGUCCAGGCGCCGGAACUCGGCCACGUGGCGGUCCUCCAUGCCGUGCGGCAUCUUGCCCUCCACCAGGUGGAAGCCGUAGGUCACCUUCCGCGCCGACGCCUUGCUCUUGCCUCUCCCCGUGGCGCGCACCGCCUCCUGCUCGGCGCCAUGGAGGCCGUCGUCUUGGUUUCCAACCUAGAGACAUACAUACGACGAGAGCACCAUCAAUCAGCAAAGUGA